rnacentral:lncRNA from 1 species
AAUCCUGGUACCUUUGAUAACUUUAUAUGCUUUCAACAAAUAAAAAGUAGACAUUCACUAUCGUUAUUCUACAGUGCUCAACAUUAAUUAAUAGUAUUUAGAAUGAACAAGGAAUACACAAUAUCUCCAUUUUUUGUUUGUUGUAUGAUGUUAUUUGGUAAUUAGGGAGGGAGGUGGUGGGUGGUGUAAUAGAGAUUGACAAAUUAUGGUAUGUUGUAUGGUAAAUAUACAUGUUGAAUUAUUCAUGGUGUACAAUCAAUGGUAUAUGGAAUAAUCCAGAUAGUAAGGACUAUCAUAAAUGAGUUACAAAGCACUUUUGAUUGGAUCAAGUCAUGCAUAAUGUGGUUCGGUUCUUUUAAUUUUUCGAUUUAUACAGAAAACCAGAGCUCUUAUAAGCCUGAUUCGUCCAGCUCGUAAAAUUAUGUUAUUCUGAUAU